AAGCUGUAGUUUAAUGGAAAAACACGCGACUGCAAACCGCGAGAUGUAAGUUCGAUUCUUCCCGGCUUUA
rnacentral:tRNA from 1 species